UUCUACACAUUUUAACUGCUACAAAAGGUUAUAAGUAGAGAAUCUCAUCCAAAAAAAUCAAAUUAGAUCAAUGUUGUGCCUUCAUCUUGAGAGGCUGUCCUGAUGAGUGGAUUUUUCAAAGCAAAUUGAUUUGAAUUUUGUCUAAACAAGUGUCCUCUAGGACAAAUAGCCUGUUGCAAAGGAAGUUCUCAGAAAUAGGGUUCACAAAUGAUGAGGUGCGGUUGCGGAGCAAACCCGCUAAUAUUUCAGUCCACCCUGCAUAGCACAAUUUGUUGUUUUCUACCCGCCCCACAUAAUUUGUUGUUUAUAUAUACCAGUAGUCUUGAAACUUCAUUUAUAUAAGUAACUUUUUAUUAUUCUGUCCCAAUUUCUGGACUCAUAUAUUUACUCCACUUUUUUUUCUUCUAAAGAAAAAAAAAGAUAAGGAAAAUUCAAAUGUUAACCUGGAAAAAAAAAUAAUGAGACGUGAACCCCCUGUUGCCAUCCCUACAGUCAGAAACAGUGGAGAAAAAUAUGAUGUACUUAUGACUUACUUCUUUUACUUAUUACCUCAACUUCCCAAUGCCUAUUCAAUAAUUGUGCUCACUUCUCCAACAUGUGAGACACUUUGGAGAGGAAGUUACUUAGGUGUUAAACAAUUU
rnacentral:lncRNA from 1 species